GCCACAACCUGCUGACCCGAUCGUCGACUCUCUGCCCCAAGCUGCCAAACUUACCUUCAAGAUGCCGGAAUUCGUAAACACCAAGGCUGAGUUCGAGGCUCUCCUGAAUGAGAACGCUACUGUUGUUGUGGACUUCACGGCCGUCUGGUGCGGACCCUGCAAAACGAUCGGUCCUAAGUUUGACGAUAUGGAAAAAGAAUUCCCAACGAUCAAAUUUGCUAAGGUGGACGUUGAUCAGAAUUCCGAGGUUGCAAUGGAACAAGGAGUCUCCGCUAUGCCCACUUUCAAAUGCUACGUGAACGGCCAGAAGGUUGACGAGGUGGUUGGAGCGGAUGAAGCGAAGUUGAGGGAAAUGAUUGAGAAAGUCAAAUAAGAAUUUUGGCUGCAUUUGCUUUGCCAUGGUUCAGAGUUAGGUGUGAUAGAAUUACAACACUUGAGUAGAAAACUUGUUCCUGAUUUGAUGAGCGCUGGCAAACGCAAACAGAAACGCAGUCUGAUUUGUAGUGUAGCACCCGGUGAGUGUAGGUUGUAAGGCUGUUGAUCAUGCCAGGCUAUGUAUGAUGUAGAAAAUGACUAAUAAAAUGGUGGACGUCCCAAUUACUAAGUACAUGUACCUAAUACCAGCUCAGAAGAGAACAAGAAAUAGCCAUGCCUUCAAGUACCAGAGUCAUCAACCAAGGAUUGAGGUGUUUAAGAAUAUUCAUUCUUUCCUACAUGUAGAACUAUCGCAGAGUGGAACUCGCUGUCACCAAGUACAGUAGGGGCAUCAUCAUUAGAUAGCUUUAAACAUUUACAAUGUCUAGAGUUAGAUGUUCAAAGGUCAGGUGUAACAAGUCGAUCGGUGUGAUGUAGCCGGCUGCCGCCGCGCCGCGUGCCUGCGAAGCUGGUGUGUUACGCCGAAAGGCGGUUAUACCGGCUAUACAGGUACAGAUACAGAUCAUAUUUGCAUGUUUUGAUUUGGUGAUAUUUGGUUUUGACUUGGUGAUGUGGUGUAAUAUAAGGUCUAGCGAAUGUUUGGUAUCUCUGCAUCUAUAUAUCACUUACUAUAAACCAGUUCCGUGUAGCAAUGAUGUGUAUCCAUUGAUUAAAUUUGGUUUCCUUAUCUAUUAUUAAAGUAAACCUUUUUGUAUGAUCGUAAGAUAUAGCAGACGCCAAGGGAAUGUGUCUGCAUAGUUGAACUACAUGUAUCACAUUGUUGUGGCGAUUGUCUAUGCUUGAUAAUACGAACAAUUUGUCAAUAAAUGACUUGCUACGUAGAA